AGCUUGAGCAAACUGUGCAGCCUGUAGCUCCACCUGAGGAGGUGUAAAAAACCCGGGAGGCCACAAACCAUGGAAGCUGUACGCAUGGCGUAGUGGACUAGCGGUUAGAGGAGACCCCUCCCUUACAAAUCGCAGCAACAACGGGGGCCCAAGGUGGGAUGAAGCUGUAGUCUCACUGGAAGGACUAGAGGUUAGAGGAGACCCCCCCAAAACAGAAAACAGCAUAUUGACGCUGGGAAAGACCAGAGAUCCUGCUGUCUCCUCAGCAUCAUUCCAGGCACAGAACGCCAGAAAAUGGAAUGGUGCUGUUGAAUCAACAGGUUCU
rnacentral:lncRNA from 1 species